rnacentral:rRNA from 1 species
CACUCCUGCGGGAGGCAGCAGUGGGGAAUAUUGCACAAUGGGCGCAAGCCUGAUGCAGCCAUGCCGCGUGUAUGAAGAAGGCCUUCGGGUUGUAAAGUACUUUCAGCGGGGAGGAAGGCGAUAAGGUUAAUAACCUUGUUGAUUGACGUUACCCGCAGAAGAAGCACCGGCUAACUCCGUGCCAGCAGCCGCGGUAAUACGGAGGGUGCAAGCGUUAAUCGGAAUUACUGGGCGUAAAGCGCACGCAGGCGGUCUGUCAAGUCGGAUGUGAAAUCCCCGGGCUCAACCUGGGAACUGCAUUCGAAACUGGCAGGCUAGAGUCUUGUAGAGGGGGGUAGAAUUCCAGGUGUAGCGGUGAAAUGCGUAGAGAUCUGGAGGAAUACCGGUGGCGAAGGCGGCCCCCUGGACAAAGACUGACGCUCAGGUGCGAAAGCGUGGGGAGCAAACAGGAUUAGAUACCCUAGUAGUCCCA